AAUUACAACAUAAAAACACAAUAGCAUAAAAUUACACACGACAAAGAUGUUUAUCUUCAUCAAUUGUGUAAUUAGGCUGUCGAGAAGAAGCCAUGGAAAAUGAAAUAACAGCUAAAGAAAGACAAGUUGGUAAAAGAAGGAAGAGGGUUAUUGUGUGCUAAAAUAGAAAAAAUAGCUCAUAUAUAUAGAGGACGAUGGUGAUUGAAUUGAAGCUGCAUUAUUUGAUAUGUAGGACACCAGCUGCAUUAUUUUUCUGCAUUAUUUGACCAAAUGCUUUAUCUUUUACUGCAUGUGAUUGAUUAAUGCUUUAUCUUUUUCUGCAUGAUACAGCUGUAGAUUGAUAUGUAGGAUACAAGCUGCAUUAUUUGAUAUCAUGUAGGACCAAAUGGUAUUGUCAAAUCAAUCCUUUCGUAUAGUAGGGGAGUGAUAAGGUGGAUGAUUCAGAUUUAAUGAAAUCUGAAUGGACGUAUAGUUAGUUUUAUCAUGUAAUUGAUGCUUUGUUAAGUAUUGUGUAAUGUUUAAUUCUAAGAGUAUUAUGUAAUUUCAG
rnacentral:lncRNA from 1 species